AACCUAUGUGCAGGAAUGCAUGAAUAUGAGGGGACUUUUCCCUGCGCUUUGUCCCGUGAAUCAUGUCACGAGAAGCUAUAUUUAACUCCUGCACACUACGCGAUCCAGACUUCUCAUAUUGAUGCGAGUGUCGUUACACGGUGUACCGGGAGGAUAGUUACACGGUGUGACGGGGGGAGCCAAGCAACUGUCAAACGAUACAGAACACAACCCGCUUCUUCGGGGAGAGGACGAUCAGAAAACAUGGCGUCGAAGGAAUUCCUGUAUAAGAUGGUACAGUUUGAAACCAGAGAGGAGAACUACUCUAUGCCGGAGUUCUUUGACCGGUUCUCACAGAAGUUACCAGUAUUCGUUAUAGUCACACAGGGGUGUUACGGCUUUACAGACCUCGAAACCUUCUCCGCUGAACAGGCUCUGUUCUGCCACAGCUACGUCAAACAGAGGCGGGUGGUCGCGCGGGACUCACGUGGCAGGACAAUCAGCAUCCCCGAGGAGUACCCCAUGAAGUUCAAGAUCGUCAUAUCCAGACAAAAGAUGGGACCAGAACAGACGAUGAAACAGAUCCUCCUUGAGAACAAAUUGCCAGUCCAGGUCAGGUUUUCCGCCCCAGCUAACGUCGCCUUUUACAUCGGAUCUGAUGAACAGAAGGCCAAGGACCUCAGUAAUCUCGCCCUGUCACACAUCUACGAGGAGACCUUCAUCAUAGCCAAUGGAGUCUACGGGCGGUCCGUGGACAUGAGUCCGGUGGUGGUGCCGCUGUACAUUGAUGAUCUGUGUGUGUCCACGGUGAAGGGCGUCGUCGCGAUGGGGGAGGAGGAGUGGAAGACCCUGUAUUCUCAACUGAAAGCGUCGCUGAAAGACGUCAAGAUUCCUCCCAACAUGGGGAAUAAAGAGAUAGCAGUGUUUUCGGACAGCUCCGUGGUAGAUAAAGAGGACCACAUCUAUUCCUACAUAGAGCCUUCAGAAUACAUCACAUUCUCUCUCCUGUCACAAGGCAACGCUACUGAUGAUGAAAAGUAUGCUGCUCCAUACUUCCACAAGAGAUAUCCACCCAAAGGAUCCAUGAUAUCCGAGCUACAGAAAAAACUAACCAAAACCAAAACCAAAGAUGAUGCACAAAGAUGGAGUGUAACAAAAGUCACUAGGAGUGUCAGUACAAGCAGUCAGGAUACCAGCAGCAAACCGAAACUUCCCCCACGAUCGAGUUCAGUUUCUAUGGAUGCAGGCGCCAUCAAUGAGAGCAAAGUGCAGGGGACAGAAAGUGACGACGCCUCUACUCCUCAGCUUCCACCGCGCAGUGGUAAAACCAAAGUACUGCCCAGUCAUCUAAAAGACCUGACAAUAGAGGGUAUGUCAAAAACUCUCAGGUCAAUAAAACUGGACAAACAUGUUUCAAAAUUUCAAAAGAAACAGGUAGAUGGGCUAAUCGCCAACGAUUUUACUGCAGAAAUGUUGAAAAGUGAAUUUAAGUUCACAGAUUUUGAAAUUGUCAAACUUAUGUCAUUCAUUGAUACUGGCCACAUUCCACGGUGAAUUUUGUCUUCUGUCAAGUCAUUCUUCAGUUUUCAGAUAUGAAUUUGGUCUUCUGUCAAGUCAUUCUUCAGUCUUUCAGAUAUGAAUCUAAACUUGUGUCAAGUCAUUCUUCAGUCUUUCAGAUAUGAAUUUGGUCUUCUGUCAAGUCAUUCUUUAGUCUUUUAGAUAUGAAUUUGGACUUGUGUCAAGGCAUUCUUUAGUCUUUCAGAUAUGAAUUUCGUCUUCUGUGAAGU